UUAGCGCUGUCACUUCUUGAAUCGCUGGUAAAUACUGUUCCUGUAGGAGAUUAUCGUCGCUGGUUCUUGCAACACGAAUACCCUAGAGUAAAAUAGGAUUAGAUACCCUAGUAUUUUGGGUAGUUAAAGCUAAUACUAUUAUUAGUAAUAAGAGCCACCUGGUUAGUACGGCUAAUAGCUGAAAACCAAAUCACUUGGCUGUUUGAUUGUUCCCUUAGAGGAGUUUGUGCCUUAAAACGAUAAUCCGCGUAUAAUCAUACCUAGCUUUGAUCUUCAGAAGCUGCAUGGCCGUUAUGGGGGUGGUUAUUUUAACCCCCACUAUCUACUUUAGGGAGUAACAGGUAUUAUGGCUUAUAUGGCUAGGGGAAGCAUGCACUACAUUGCUAAGAAUAUUUUUACUAUUAGGUCGGUUAACAUCGUGACAGCGAUGUUAUAAGUAGAAUUUAAAAGUAAUUGGGAAGUAGGGUGUUCCAAUGAAUGGGUAACAUCAUAAGUACAAAUUGCCCGUCACCUUAGUCCUUGAAGCCAGUUUGUGGUUGUCUAUAAACUUGCGGUUAAGAGAUUAAGUAAGUCGUAACAUAGUGAGGGUAGGGGAACCUGUCCUUGAUA
rnacentral:rRNA from 1 species